rnacentral:rRNA from 1 species
GACGAACGCUGGCGGCGUGCUUAACACAUGCAAGUCGAACGGAAAGGCCCUGCUUUUGUGGGGUGCUCGAGUGGCGAACGGGUGAGUAACACGUGAGUAUCCUGCCCUUGACUUUGGGAUAACUUCAGGAAACUGGGGCUAAUACAGGAUAGGAGCUCCUGCUGCAUGGUGGGGGUUGGACAGUUUCGGCGGUUGGGGAUGGACUCGCGGCUUAUCAGCUUGUUGGUGGGGUAGUGGCUUACCAAGGCUUUGACGGGUAGCCGGCCUGAGAGGGUGACCGGCCACAAUGGUACUGAGGUACGGCGCAGACUCCUACGGGAGGCAGCAGUGGGGAAUAUGGCACAGUGGGCGGGAGCCUGAUGCAGCGGCGCCGCGUGCGGGAUGACGGCUUUGGGGUUGUAAACCGCUUUCGCCUGUGACGAAGCGUGAGUGACGGUAAUGGGUAAAGAAGCACCGGCUAACUACGUG